UACGAAGGGGGCUAGCGUUGCUCGGAAUGACUGGGCGUAAAGGGCGCGUAGGCGGUUUGUUACAGUCAGGUGUGAAAUUCCCGGGCUCCAACCUGGGGGCUGCACUUGAUACGUAUGGACUGGAGUGGGGAAGAGGGUCGGUGGAAUUCCCAGUGUAGAGGUGAAAUUCGUAGAUAUUGGGAAGAACACCGGUGGCGAAGGCGGCGACCUGGUCCUUGACUGACGCUGAGGCGCGAAAGCGUGGGGAGCAAACAGG
rnacentral:rRNA from 1 species